GCAAUUUUGGAAGCGGGUUAUCCUGAUUUUUUUAUCGUUUUCAUUGGGUUCAUGACAUAGUGAAACAAAUAUCACAAUAAAUGACUACAAAAUGUGGGAAAAUCAAGAAAUCCUAUUAACUCUGUAGUUAGUACUACUCUUCCAAUUAAUAGAGAGGAUGUUGAUUAAUCAAUAUUCAUUAUUAUAUUGAGACUCAUUAACCAAUAUUCGUUGUCACAUUGAGUUUCAUCAGUGGUUGGUGUAUUAUCUCAAUUAUACGACAUAAUUUAGUAUUGAUGCUGUUUAUCUAUCAAGUUGACUGACACGGCCCGCUCGCCGCAUUAGUUUGCUCGCAAACUGCGCAACACACGCUUCGAUAAUAAAUAAAUAAAUAAUUAUUCAAGCGAACAAUCAAGAUGUACCCAAAUCCCUUUCAUAGGAGGCAUUCGAUUGUAUGGCAAAUGUUCGACCGCAUAUUCCGAAGGGAGAACCGCUUCAAAAAAGGAAAGAAGGUUGUUUGAAAUGAGUGCGCCAAUGAGUUUGGACUGCAGAAGUUGUUCGUCGCUGGCCGGCUCUGGAUCUCAUUUAGUGAAGAUUUUGGACUCACUUCCAAGGUCUGAGAAAACCUGCCUGUAUAGAAGCCAUUGGUAGCUGAAUACCCGGAUUUGAACAUGAAUAUUUUCUGUUAUAUUUUUAAUUAGGUAUA